CGGCGCGCGGCGCACCGUCUUGCACGAGGCGCACGAGCCGCCCCGCCGUCCGAGGCUGUGGGCGAGCGCGCGCCUUUGUUUGUCCCCGCGCCUCGGGUUUUAACGCCGCGUCCCCCUGGGUUCUGAGAGGUUCCCUCUCCUCGAGCUAUUUGGGUCAGGGGCUCUGACAAUAGGAGUGGCUCGCGGCCUACACGUCUGAGAGGUUCCAGGGCGCUUGCACGGAAAAGGAAAUAAAUUUCAGAAGACGGAAAGGAAACCCACCAUAUGGAGAUUUCUCCAAAGUCGGAAACCUUCAGCCUUGCCACUACCUGGAAUUAAAAACAAACAAAACAAAAACCUUUCUAGACCGGGAUAAAACUGAUACAGAAAAAAAAAAAUCUUGGAAAGAAAACGAAAACUUUUACAAUACCUGCCCAAGGGAAGAUUUGGACCAAUUAUCAUAAAUAUCUGUGUGAAGAUUUGGACCAAUCAUCAAGGAAUUGAUUACUCACAAGAGCAAUUAGGUGCCACCAGGUUUCAGAUAAACAUUUUAAAAAUUCUUUAAAAUAAUAUGUCACCCAUUAAGAUUCUAAAGUGAAAUUAGAUAAAUAAACCUACAGAUUGGUGAAACAGAA